AUUGUAGAACGUCAGUAAUUUCAAGGUUAAAAGAAUUAAAAUUAAUUUCCAAAUUUGUUUCUUCUUUUUGCUCUUCCCAGGACAAAUAUUUUUUUAAAUAUAUUGAUUUACAGUAAAAAUAUUGGUGUUAAGUACACUUGAUAUCAGUGAUAGUGAGUUUAAUGGACUGUUAAGAAGAGGAACAAGAUGUUGUUUACUUCGUCAUGGUUUAUGGACAUAUUGCUAGCACUGAGUUUUGUCUGCUUUCUAGUCUACAAAUAUCUGACACGACACUUUGAUUAUUGGAAAAA
rnacentral:lncRNA from 1 species